GACGAACGCUGGCGGCGUGCUUAACACAUGCAAGUCGAACGGAAAGGCCCUGCUUGCAGGGUACUCGAGUGGCGAACGGGUGAGUAACACGUGGGUGAUCUGCCCUGCACUUCGGGAUAAGCUUGGGAAACUGGGUCUAAUACCGGAUAGGACCGCACUUUAGUGUGUGUGGUGGAAAGUUUUUUCGGUGUAGGAUGAGCUCGCGGCCUAUCAGCUUGUUGGUGGGGUAAUGGCCUACCAAGGCGGCGACGGGUAGCCGGCCUGAGAGGGUGUACGGCCACAUUGGGACUGAGAUACGGCCCAGACUCCUACGGGAGGCAGCAGUGGGGAAUAUUGCACAAUGGGCGCAAGCCUGAUGCAGCGACGCCGCGGGGGGGAUGAAGGCCUUCGGGUUGUAAACUCCUUUCGCUAGGGACGAAGCUUUUUGUGACGGUACCUAGAUAAGAAGCACCGGCUAACUACGUG
rnacentral:rRNA from 1 species